AUUUCACAUUGCUGAGUAUUUUUGAGUCCUCUAGUGCUGUACAGAGUUAAGAACAUUUUGGAGUUGACACUUCAUCGAUUUGGUGGCAACUCUCUCCCAACUCCUACUCUCCCACUUCCCAGCCAAAGUACAGUAAGCUUCCGUAAUGUGAAACACACAGGGGAAAAAUGAUGGAUCUAAAUGCAAAAGUUUUCAUGCUUAUAAAACCUACUCCUGAGGAACUUUAUACUGACACCAUCAAUAUCAAAGGACAAGGGGCAAGGAAUAAAGAAUUUUCAUCUGAUCUGAUGUUCAAACUCUUAGGAAUGCGAAGAGAAUAUAAAGGCAUACCCUAAAGUAGUGCCCAGCAGGAAGAACAAAGAGCAUUUCAGCAUAUGCAUGAUGAGCAGAGUGGGAAGAGUAUUCGCUCAUGACGCAGCUUUUUAAUUCAAUAUUCAUCAAUGAGCUUCACCACUUCUUGGCAUUAAGAAAAUGGAAGUUUCUUGAGGACGGAGAGAUAUUUCAUUCUGGUUUCCAUAUAUGCCUGGUUCUUAGCACAUUGGUAUUUAAUGUUUGUUGAAUUGAACUGAAACCCUGAAAACAGCCUCCUGAUUACUCUCCCCUGCUUUCACGUCUCUUCCUACAAUCCAUUCUUUUUUUAAACCCUUACCUUCCGUCUUGGAGUCAAUACUGUGUAUUGGCUCCAAGGCAGAAGAGUGGUAAGGGCUAGGCCAUGGGGGUCAAGUGACUUGCCCAGGGUCACACAGCUGGGAAUGUCUGACCCACAAUCCAUUCUAUGAAGUGUCACUGCCAAACUAUUCAGGAGUCAACAGAGUCACUGAAGGGUUUUCUAACCAGAGUAGGGUCAAAGGAAGAUGAAUUCCAACCUGAUAAUUUUUUCUCCAUAACGUGGCACCAACCUGGCUUUCUUGCUUUCUCUCUAUUCCCUUACACUGUAGUUACAGUACAAUAUUGUUCCUGUAAACACUUCAGACUUUCUUGCCUCCAAUCUAUUGAGCAUGCCAUUCUACCAGAAUGCUCUUCCCUAAUAGCUCUACUUGCUGAAAGCUUACACAUCCUUCAAGACCCAACACAAUACCUGCCUCUUCCAUGAACAUUUUCCUCUAUUCCACAAAUCAGAUGUGAUUCUUCUCCUCUGAGCCCCAAGAGCAUACUACCUUCUACUAACUGAACUGCAUACUUUUAGAGUUGGAAAGGGUGGCAGUAAUCAUUUAAAUCCAAUUCUCUCAUUUUAUAGAGGAAAAUGAGGGCUCCAGAAAGACUAAGUGAUUAGUCAAGGGCACAAUACUAGCUAUAGUUAAUUUUGUACUUGAAGGCAAGCCUAGGUUCAAUUACUAAUCAUUAUUUUUCAAUUCUCCUUUUGCCUCCAGCAUCUGGCAUAUAUAUAAGGCUCUGCAUAGAAUUGGCACACAGUGCUUGCCGAAAUAUGAAUAGCUUAUGAAAGAAGACUCCAUUUAACAAUUAUUAAGUACCUAAUAACUGCAAGGUGACCAUGCACCUUGGACAUGGUUUGGACAAAGCAUGAUGCUGCCCUUAAAGGCCUUGCAUUCUAUUGGAAAUGAAAUUUUUAUCAAUCAAAACAACCCAACUUCUACUUAAAUGAUUAUAAAAUGAAAAAAGAGGACACAUGUAGUUACUAUGCAUUUUUAAAUGGAAACAUACAGUGAGACUUAACAAGAAAAUUUAGUGUCAGAACAAUGAUUUUAUAGGAAAAAAAUUCUUAUAUGAAAAGAACACCAAAGCUGGCCACAAAGAACUAAGAUCUGGAGAGGCAGAAGGACCCCGGUAAUAGGAGGGGCUCUUCAUUUGAUUACACUGAUCAAGAUUCAUUUGGGUGCUGCUAAUAUCCUUUGACAUUGCCCAACCCAUUAGCUCAUCAAAAAACUGUUGUCUUUUUUCCUUAUCUGACCCUUCACCUUUCCCAACUAUAUUCCUUAUAUUUUUAAGGUCACAGAUGGAAGACAUUUUCCUUAAUUAUUUUAGACAAGUCCAACUAUCUGGCUCCUUCUAUGACUGAAAUUCAGGGCAUGACCUAUUCUGAAAUGCUCCUAAGAGACCAGAGUUUGGAAAACAUUUUUCUUUUUGUCUUUUGCUUUAACUACAUUUCCGAGUGGAUUCUUCCCUGUCCCUGAGAGCAAGCCCUUAUAACAAAGAAAAUGAAAGAAGGGAAGAAAUGUUCAGCAAAACUAACAUUUACAUUGGCUUUUGAGGAACUUGGAAGUGAAACUCUUCAGAAGUACAAGUGUCUUGGAUAUCCUUAAAUCUCAUGAAGUUUUAUGUGAAAGGAAAUUUCCAGUGGUACUUCUCAAAUAUGUGCUGAGCCAGCAAAGCUCUCAUUUCACUUCUGAUGCUCCUUUUAACUUUUCUAUGAUUUGCUUUUUCAUAUUCUGGUUAACUCCUUUUGGGACUUAUGAACUUCUUAAAAACUGUUCUUUUGGGAAAAUAUUCCAAAAUGCAUUAUCUACCUUUAUGUCUUUUUAAAACAGACCACAUUUUUUUCUUUAAAAAUUCUUAUUUUUUUCAAUGCCUUUUGUUAAAAAAAAAUCAUACUUGUAUUGGGUAUGGUGACAAACACUUAUACUCCCUACACUAUUUCUUUGCAUAGGACAUCAUCUCCCACCUCUGUGAAUAUCAAAGGAUCUGUGAUUUUUAUCAGUCUGAGGAUUCCAGGAUUGGGAAUUCUUUCCACUGUGUAGAUGGCAAUCUUCAGAUUUAUUAGAUUAAAAUAAAAAAAACUCUCCACAAAUUUCUUGUGGUAUGCAAAGGUUAGUUAACUAAUUUACUCAGGGUCACGAAGCUAGCAAGAAAGGCUGGAUUUAAAUCCUUAUCUUCCUGAAAGUAACCCUGGUACUUGAUCUGUUAAGCCACAUUUAUCGCUAAAAUUGAAGUGAAGCUGAAAAAGAUUAAAAUAAUAAGUAACUCUUAAACCCCUGAGUAGUUAACUGACCAUUGCUCCAAGUUUCAAGACUUUGUACCAAGGUCUUCUUGUGGGCUAUUAAGAAGCUGAAGAAUAACAUAAAUUGUAUUUAUCCUCAUUAAAAACACAUUUAUUAUUAUUCAGCUGAAUACUAAUCUAAAACCAUUAAAGAUAAACACAUUGGCAUAUAUGCUGGAAAAGAAAGAAUAUUUUACCUUUUCCAGUUUCAUUUUGAGUCGUCUGUCUUCCAAUCUCUUCUUUAACACAUCCACAUCCUCUUUAUUGCCAUUAAGCACAAUGACAUCAUCUUCUUGAAAAGGGACACCACACUGUAGUAAAGGGAAAAAAAACAGAAGUCGUCAUCCCAGUAUUGUUACUCCAGAGACUCUCACAGUCACUUCUUUAUUCAACCUUUGCUUCCUGACACUCAGUGCCAAGCUUAUGAAACAUGUAUUGCUUUCUAAGUUCCCUUCUCCUUUUCCUAAGUUUUCUAUUAUAUAGCACAUUCCAGAGUCCAGAGGCAAUAUAUCUCCUUACUGACUCAACAAAUACCAGCAUUCAUUUAGCAUUUAUAGGUGCAAAAGUGAGCAAGGGACAUACAAUCUGGAUAUUCCCAGGCAGAGUAGAAAAUGAAUACAUAGUUUGCUCAAUCACCUGUUAUUCAUCUUUAUACUACCAUGCACAAUAUCCUUUAUUACAUAUAUGCCAUUAAAAUAUGUAACAUAACAGUAUUUAUAUAGAACUUACUAUGUUCCAGGCACUGUGCUAAGAUUUUUACAAUUAUUGCCUCAUUUGAUCCUCACAAUGUUGGGAAUUAGGUGCUAUUAUCCCUUUUUACAAAACAGAAGUGAAGUCACUUGCUCAAGAGUCCCACAGCUAAUGUCUGAGAUGGAAUUUGAACCCAGAUCUUCCUGAUACCAGGCCAGUACUUUAAAUCCACUGUGCUGCCUCUGUCCCUAAUAUGUAUAUAAGAAAGGAUAGGCAGAAUCACAUAAGACUAAAAUUGUUAAGGAAAGUUGAGGAAGAAUGGGUAACUCUCAAGAAUAAAAUUGUUUUUUUUUUAAUACAUUAUUUUAUUUGGUCAUUUUCAAACAUUAUUCAUUGGAAGCAAAGGUCAUUUUCUUUUCCUCUCCCCCCUCCCAGUACCCCUCCCAUAGCCGACGCGCGAUUCCACUGGGUAUCACAUGUGUCCUUGAUUUGAAAGAAUAAAAUUCUGAAGAUUAAAAAAAGAAUCGAUUCCAAAGAGGAGGAAAAUUGAGAAGGUACCUAAAGAUAUGGAUACAUAGGAAACUCAACAACAACCUAAGAUUUUUAAAGACAUGUAUAUAAGCCAUGAAAGCAAGGCAAAGUAAUGAAUACUAAUAACAGAAUUUACGUAUCUCUUUUGAGUUUUUUAGGUACUAUUUCAUUUGAGCUUCAAUGAAUAGAUGUUAUUAUUUUUUUUAUAGAUGAGCAAACUGAGGAUGAAAGAGGUUUAAGUGACUUGUCUAGGAUCACAUAACUAUUAUGUGUCUGAGGCCAGUUUAGAACUCAGCACUUUCUGACUCCAUAUUCAAUGUUGCCAUGCCAGAAUUAUGUCAAAAGCACUAAAGCUCAGGACAAGCCGAGACUGAUAUUUGAAAAGUUAUACAGGGGAAAAGAAGUCAGAGGGGGAGGGCUCACCACCCUCGAGAAGGCAGAGUUGCCCAUCUCUGAAGCUGUGCAAUGGAAAGGACAGAAUGACAUGGCCCAACAUGGAGGUUACACCCAAGAUAAAAAAGAUAAGGAAGGUAGGUCCUGGAGGCCUUCCAGUCAUCAAUACCAUAGGAAUGGCAUCAAGAAAGAACCAGUGAGAUUGCUGAGUGAACUCAUGCAUUCCAAAGGGUAGGAUGAAACAUACAAUAAAUAUUUUGUUGAAAUCUAAAUACAUUAUGUAUACAGUAUUCCCCUGACUAACCAAUCAAGUAAUGACAUUUAUAAAGUGCUUCCAAGUUUGAAAAAUAUUUUAUAUACAGCAUUUCACUGUUGUUGCUUCACAACAAUCCUCUAAGGUUGUACUUACAGAUAAUGUGUCCUUAUGGCUACGUGGUCUUGAUGGAACUAUCAAACCCAACCCGUUCUAUAAUUUUUUUAGGAAUUAAAGUCAAGCUCAUUUUCCAAUAGCUUAUAAAAUCUACCUUUUCCUUUAAAAAAAAAUUAGGAUAAUUCUUAUUUUCCACUCCCCUCAAAAAAGAGGCCUUAAGGGUUUACCACUGGAUGUGACUCUGUGAGGUCACACAGCCUCUCAAAGCUUCAUCUAUCAAGGAGAAACACAACUUGCACCUGUAUACAUCACAAUCAUUAGGACUUAUGAGAUCACAAGAUCACAGGAUUAGAAUUAGAAGGGAAUUUAGAAAUCAUCAACACUAACUGCCAAUGGAUGGAUGGCCCCAAUUUGAAGACGAGGAAGAGGAAUGAGUACUAGGAGGCCUUCCAAGCCACCAAGGUGUUGGUGAUGGCUAAAAGGAUGUUUAAAAGUAGCCAGCACCUGGUGGUCAUUAUUGAAAAGGUGAAAACUGAAAUCUAGCAGUUGAUCAAGAAAUGCAAAAUGGUUAAAAUAGGGGUUUGGCUUAUUAUCCCAAGGAAAGAAAAUGAAAAUAACUGGGUAUCUAGGAGGGGACAGAUGCAGAAUUUAGGACUAUGGAAAGUAAAACUGCAUCUUCAUAUUUCUAGAUGUUACAUUACAAGAAUCAAAAUUAGUUUCUGAAAGUCAAAUUUCCCCAUGUAGAAGAAUAUUGAUGCAUGGUGACAGAAACUUAUAAGGAAUAUAUCAGCUUUUGGUUCAUCAUUAUCAGAACUGAGGAAUGACCCUGGAGCAGCAAUGCAGAGAUGCUGACCUGAGGCUAAAGGCCAGGGGACUUGAGUUUGGCUCAAGACUGACUUUGCCUUGUUUGGUUACAUGACUAUCAAGAUGGGCAAACUGUUGUGAAAUAGUAAUCACACAUCUCUUCUGUUUUUAGUUAAGAUUCUAAUGAAGCACUCAGGUAGUUCUAUGA